rnacentral:rRNA from 1 species
AUAUUGGACAAUGGGCGAAAGCCUAAUCCAGCUACGCCGCUUGAGGGUUGAUUGCCUUCGGGUUGUAAACCUAUUUCAGUAGGGACGAUGCGAAAGUGACGGUACCUACAGAAAAAGGACCGGCCAACUACGUGCCAGCAGCCGCGGUAAUACGUAGGGUCCGAGCGUUGUCCGGAAUUAUUGGGCGUAAAGGGCUCGUAGGCGGUUUGUCGGGUCGAGAGUGAAAACUCAGGGCUCAACCCUGAGCGUGCUUCCGAUACGGGCAGACUAGAGUUAUGCAGGGGAGAACGGAAUUCCUGGUGUAGCGGUGGAAUGCGCAGAUAUCAGGAGGAACACCGGUGGCGAAGGCGGUUCUCUGGGCAUUACCUGACGCUGAGGAGCGAAAGCAUGGGGAGCGAACA